rnacentral:misc_RNA from 1 species
GCGAAUCGGGAACAUCGAUAGUAUCCCUCUUUACUUGGCAUUUUCGAAGAAGAACGCGGUAGGUCCGCCAUAUUUUAUCCCGAAAGAAAUUAACGAUUCGGAAGGUUUGCGAAGGUGUUCCGUUAUAUAUAAGAGUAUAAGAAAAUGAGUUAUGGUCGAGGGCCACCUACAAUCGACGGUAUGACAUCUUUAAAGGUUGAUAAUUUAACAUAUCGCACAACACCGGAUGAAUUGAAAAGAGUUUUCGAGAAAUAUGGCGACGUUGGCGAUAUCUAUAUUCCGCGUCAUCCUUACACGAGGGAAAGUCGCGGAUUCGCAUUUGUUCGAUUUUACGAUAAAAGAGAUGCCGAAGAUGCUAUGGAUAAUUUGGACGGGUUCGUUUUAGACGGAAGGGAAUUGAGAGUUCAAAUGGCUCGUUAUGGCCGUCCUAACGAGUCGUGGAGAGGUCCGAGUCGUAACAGAUACGGAUUCAAUCGUAGAACUAGAUCCAGAUCUAGAAGUCGAAGUUAUCGAAGAUCUAGAUCACGAUCUCGAUCCAGAAGAUCACGUUCUACAUCUCGUAGUAGAAGGCAUCGACGUUCAAGAAGUCGUUCCAGAAGACACAGGCGUAGUCGUGACGAUUCUAGAUCAGAAUCUCGUUCCCGAAGCCGGAGUAAAAGUAGAGGAAAAAGAAAGCAUAAGAGUCCUAGCAAAAGCCAAAGUAGAAGUAGGAGUCGGAGUGUUAGUAAAGAGAAGAAUGGUAGUGAAAAGAGAAGCAAGAGUAGAAGUAAGAGCAGAGAUGGUAGUCAGAGCCCUUGCGCAAGCAAGAGCCCUGCAAAGAGCGUCAGUCGUAGCAAGAGCCGUAGUAAGAGCAGAAGCAGAAGUCGAAGUCCAACCAAAAGCCGUAGCAGAAGCAAAAGUCGUAGUAGAAGCAGAAGUAGGAGUGCAGAAAAUAAUAAUAAUGCCAGAGAAAGCAGAAGCAGAAGUAAAUCACAAAGUCCAUAAUGAUUACAACUUGGAGUAAGCAUCAUGACAUUACAAGAAUCAUAAUUCCAGGCAGAAUAUUGUGCAUAACUCUGGAUUGUUCUUAUAAUUUGAAGGCGCAGUAGUGUUGCAGUUAAUGGUUCCUGUGCUGUCCUGUUCCUGUUGUUCCUGGUUCCUGUACCAGCUGAAUGCGGAUAUGUACCUGGCUGCCAGAUUUUAGGGCCCAGUGUGCAGUGCUGUUGUUGCUGUGGGAGCUGACAAGCAGGGCAUUUGCUGCCGAUCCUGUGUUCUGGAAAGGGGCUAAAUAGCACUGCGUAAAAUUCUUAUCCGCAAAUUUGUUUUGUUUUUUUUUUAAUUAAUUAAAUGUAGACAAUAUUAGAGAGUCCUGAUAUAAGAUAAAUUUUAAUAAUAUAUUUCUUAAAUUUCAAAGUUUAAAUAUAUAAUUUUGACCUUGAAUAGACAGCAUUUUUAAAUUUGAACCUAAAUAUCAAACAGCCUGAAUCAAAUAUGAUGAUUCUUAAUCUGGACUUUCCAAGUGUUUUUUCACAGGUGCAGUUGCUGCUGUAUUGUUCCUGCCGGUGACAAAAGUGCGAUAAAUUGUAUAAGCCUCCAAGGGAACUUCAUAUGUAAUUGUUCUUGAAAUCUUAAUUUGUAAAACAAUAUUAGUUUUGACUACUUACUAUAUAUAUAUUUCCUCUUUCUUCUUUAAACAUCCUAACAUUUACAAUUACAUUAAUUGUUGUAAAUGGAAAGAGAUUUUUGUAUAAUUUAACCUUAAAAAAUUUUAAAUUGGUUUUGACAUUUUCUCUUUCAAAUAUUUUAUUUCCUGUAACUUAUAUUUUUAUUAAUCCUGCUAAAAAUCUUAACAUGUUAACCCUUUAUUCAUUAUGCCUAAAUUUGCUUAAUUAUUAAUCACUAAUAAAAAUUGCAUUCUAUUGGGAAGUACUCAAUGGAAUUCUGUAAACAGUCUGAAAGCAUCUUAAAAUGCAUCUGUUUUUGAAACAAAGACAUAUCUCAAUUAUUUAUUUGGUCUGUGCAUAGUUUUCAUAUCUUGUUAAAAUAUAGGUCAACAUAGCUGUAAAAUUUAAUUAUAGAUUUAAUUUUCUCAUUACUUAAAUGGAAAAUACAAACAACUUUAUGUUCAUUUUAAUGAAUUCUCAAAUGUUGUUUUUUUUUUCCUUUUUUAAACUACUGCAUUUAGCUUUUAUUUUGCCAAAAGAUAUUGCAUUUUUCUUUCUCAAAGGUUUAGUUUAUUGUAAUUUCUUUACCUUCCCAAUAUCUAUAUAUUUUUACAAAAAAUUGUGGUAUGUUUUCUGUAAUUCAUUUGAAGAUGUAAAUAUUUGAAGAGGAAAAUAUAAUAAUUUGUUAUAAUUAAUGAGAAAUUGUUGUUUGAAUUCGUUAAAUGAGAAUCUAGCAGAAUUUAACAUGUAGGCUAUGUUUUAGAAAAGAAUUAAAACAUGAGAGAGUAAUUUCCUUUUAAUUUAUCCAUAUUAGAAUUAAUCUAGUUGAUUGUGUAGUAUAGUUAACAUUUUCAUUGUGAGUGUAACUUUGAAGAAUUUUGAAAUAUAUGCCAAUGGCUAACUGAACAAAAAUGAUGCAUUUUUCAGUUAGAAGUGAAUUACACCUAGCUUAAAAUUUGCUUCUUCUUUAAUGUUAUUUCAGACUAUUUAUUGCAGACCAAGUGAAUGACUUCCGAUAGUUUAACAUUUCAGGUUUCAACACGUCUAGCUAAAAUUUUUAGUUAAAAACUGGUCUACGAGUGCUCAAGGCAAAAUUAUUUGUCUUGGACUUAUAAAAAA